UACGUAGGGACCAAGCGUUGUUCGGAUUUACUGGGCGUAAAGGGCGCGUAGGCGGCGCGGUAAGUCACUUGUGAAAUCUCUGAGCUUAACUCAGAACGGCCAAGUGAUACUGCAGUGCUAGAGUGUGGAAGGGGCAAUCGGAAUUCUUAGUGUAGCGGUGAAAUGCGUAGAGAUCGGCAGGAACACCCAGGGGGAAACCAGCCGACUGGGCAUCUACUGACGCUGAGGUGCGAGAGCGUGGGGAGCGAACCGG
rnacentral:rRNA from 1 species